rnacentral:rRNA from 1 species
UACGUAGGUGGCGAGCGUUGUCCGGAUUUAUUGGGUUUAAAGGGUGCGUAGGCGGCUUUGUAAGUCAGUGGUGAAAUACUCUAGCUCAACUAGAGAGGUGCCAUUGAUACUGCGGAGCUUGAGUACAGAUGAGGUAGGCGGAAUUGACGGUGUAGCGGUGAAAUGCAUAGAUAUCGUCAAGAACACCGAUAGCGAAGGCAGCUUACUGGGCUGUAACUGACGCUGAGGCACGAAAGUGUGGGGAUCAAACAGG